rnacentral:rRNA from 1 species
GACGAACGCUGGCGGCGUGCCUAAUACAUGCAAGUAGAACGCAGUUGCGAACGGGUGAGUAACGCGUAGGUAACUGCCUGGUAGCGGGGGAUAACUAUUGGAAACGAUAGCUAAUACCGCAUACUACCAGAUGGACCUGCGUUGUAUUAGCUAGUUGGUGGGGUAACGGCUCACCAAGGCAACGAUACAUAGCCGACCUGAGAGGGUUGUCGGCCACACUGGGACUGGGGCACGGGCCAGACUCCGUAGGGAGGCAGCAGUAGGGAAACUUCGGAAAUGGGCGGAAGUCUGACCGAGCAAAGCCGCGGGAGUGAAGAAGGUUUUCGGAUCGUAAAACUCUGUUGUAAGAGAAGCGGUAUCUUACCAGAAAGGGACGGCUAACUACGUGCCAGCAGCCGCGGUAAUUC